CCGUGACAUUGCAUUUUGUUGCAGCUCCACUUUGUGCUCGAAGGACGUCUCCAUCUCUGCUGCAGGUCGACUCAAAAACAACCGCAAAACCAUGGCUCAAGUCCAAAUUGAACACUGCGCAAGAUGAGGUUAUGGCUCCCGCUACAGGGAUGUGGCCAACGCCAUCACAGACCUGGUUCCUGAUGUGGUUAUGAAGAAAGUCAUCAGUCAGAAACCCAACAGCUUUGAGGUGACGGUUAAUGGUGAGCUGAUUUUCUCCAAACUGGCGGAGGGAAAGUUUCCCAAUCCCUCAGAGAUUGCGGAAAUGGUGAAGAAGAUUGUUUGCGGGGGCAAACGUUAAAGAUACCGAUGUCACCAUAAGAGGAUAAAGAGCUGUAUUCACACUGCACAACAUGGUUUAAAUUUGACUCAAAAUCCAUUCCCAUCACAUCACAACUACAGUCUGAGUUUACUACGGCGAAUUACUGAAGAUUUUUGAAGUUUUAACUGGUGAACGUGAGGCCACGAAGGAUAAGUCCAUGUUUUCUGCACUGUGAAUACAGACCAAGAAGAUGGUGAUGAGAGCAUCACUGAGGAGCUGGACACUGAUCUGUUCUUCUGUUUAUGAAUGUGCGCACUCAAAAUCAUACAGUGCGUACACGAUGCAAAUCUAGAAGCCUUUCAUCCAACUGGAGCCUGAGGAGCUGCUCUCAUCCUGUGAUACCUCGAGAUAACCAAUAAAAUCAUGUAUUUAGCUGCAUUUCUCAUCAAAAAUGGAAAAGAUAAAACACUCUGGUGUCUGUAUGGUGAAUAUUAAAGUGACCACGAACAGCCAGUUUGCUUAGAAACUCACAAAUUGAUGCCAUUUGUCUAUAAUCUAUACACAAAUUAAUAAUUUCCAGUUUAUGUGCUGUUAAUUUGAGCCUGAACGAGUCCAGGUUAAUAAAUAGUCAAAUAAAAGUAUAGUUUUCUUCAUAACAUUUGAAUUUUUAAUGUUUUCCCUUGUUUCCAACGUUAAAGAGAAGCAAAGCUAACAAAGACUCUUUGUGUUCACCACACAGACACACAAGUAUAAUCUUGUCACCCUGCCAAAACUUGUCAAACAGAAUCAUUUGAUGACCAAUGUUAUGAUGAAACUUGUAUUUCUCAAUAACCAAUUCCAACAAAAUGUACUCCUCCAGAAAUGCAAUAAAAAUAUGAGACUAA